GACGAACGCUGGCGGCGUGCCUAACACAUGCAAGUCGAGCGGGAACCUCUCGAGGGGUAACCCUUGGGAGGGGAGAGCGGCGAACGGGUGAGUAACACGUGGGCAACCUGCCCCGGACACCGGGAUAACCCAGGGAAACCUGAGCUAAUACCGGAUACUCCGGCGUGCUCGCAUGGUCGCGCCGGGAAAGCUCCGACGGUCCGGGAUGGGCCCGCGGCCUAUCAGCUUGUUGGCGGGGUAACGGCCCACCAAGGCGACGACGGGUAGCUGGUCUGAGAGGACGGCCAGCCACACUGGGACUGAGAGACGGCCCAGACUCCUACGGGAGGCAGCAGUGGGGGAUCUUGCGCUAAUGCGCGAAAGCGUGACGCAGCGACGCCGCGUGGGGGAUGAAGGCCCUCGGGUUGUAAACCCCUUUCGGCAGGGACGAAGCGAAAGUGACGGUACCUGCAGAAGAAGUCCCGGCUAACUACGUGCCAGCCGCCGCCGUAA
rnacentral:rRNA from 1 species